UGACAUUUGCUCUCACAGCAGAUGACAGGGU
rnacentral:piRNA from 1 species